rnacentral:rRNA from 1 species
UACGAAGGGGGCUAGCGUUGUUCGGAAUUACUGGGCGUAAAGCGCACGUAGGCGGCUUUCUAAGUCGGGGGUGAAAUCCUGGAGCUCAACUCCAGAACUGCCUUCGAUACUGGAAAGCUCGAGUCCGGGAGAGGUGAGUGGAACUGCGAGUGUAGAGGUGAAAUUCGUAGAUAUUCGCAAGAACACCAGUGGCGAGGGCGGCUCACUGGCCCGGUACUGACGCUGAGGUGCGAAAGCGUGGGGAGCAAACAGG